rnacentral:rRNA from 1 species
UGGGGAAUAUUGGACAAUGGGCGCAAGCCUGAUCCAGCCAUGCCGCGUGAGUGAUGACGGCCUUAGGGUUGUAAAGCUCUUUCGCACGCGACGAUAAUGACGGUAGCGUGAGAAGAAGCCCCGGCUAACUUCGUGCCAGCAGCCGCGGUAAUACGAAGGGGGCUAGCGUUGUUCGGAUUAACUGGGCGUAAAGGGUGCGUAGGCGGAUUUUUAAGUCAGGGGUGAAAUCCCAAGGCUCAACCUUGGAACGGCCUUUGAUACUGGGGAUCUUGAGUCCGGGAGAGGUGAGUGGAACUGCGAGUGUAGAGGUGAAAUUCGUAGAUAUUCGCAAGAACACCAGUGGCGAAGGCGGCUCUCUGGACAGUUCCUGACGCUGAUGCACGAAGGCCAGGGGAGCAAAC